AUGAGGCAUACCCCGGGAACUGGGGAUAAUUCCGGAUAACGCAUAUUUGCUGGAAUGCUUUAUGCGUCAAAAGGAUUCGUCUGCCCAAGGAUGGGUCUGCGGCCUAUCAGGUAGUAGUGGGUGUAAUGUACCUACUAGCCAGCGACGGGUACGGGUUGUGAGAGCAAGAGCCCGGAGAUGGAUUCUGAGACAUGAAUCCAGGCCCUACGGGGCGCAGCAGGCGCGAAAACUUUACAAUGCGGGAAACCGUGAUAAGGGGACACCGAGUGCCAGCAUCAUAUGCUGGCUGUCCGGAUGUGUAAAAUACAUCCGUUAGCAAGGNCCGGGCAAGACCGGUGCCAGCCGCCGCGGUAACACCGGCGGCCCGAGUGGUGAUCGUGAUUAUUGGGUCUAAAGGGUCCGUAGCCGGUUUGGUCAGUCCUCCGGGAAAUCUGAUAGCUCAACUAUUAGGCUUUCGGGGGAUACUGCCAGACUUGGAACCGGGAGAGGUAAGAGGUACUACAGGGGUAGGAGUGAAAUCUUGUAAUCCCUGUGGGACCACCUGUGGCGAANGCGUCUUACCAGAACGGGUUCGACGGUGAGGGACGAAAGCUGGGGGCACGAACCGGAUUAGAUACCCGGGUAGUCCCAGCCGUAAACGAUGCUCGCUAGGUGUCAGGCAUGGCGCGACCGUGUCUGGUGCCGCAGGGAAGCCGUGAANCGAGCCACCUGGGAAGUACGGCCGCAAGGCUGAAACUUAAAGGAAUUGGCGGGGGAGCACAACAACGGGUGGAGCCUGCGGUUUAAUUGGACUCAACGCCGGACAACUCACCGGGGGCGACAGCAAUAUGUAGGCCAAGCUGAAGACUUUGCCUGAAUCGCUGAGAGGAGGUGCAUGGCCGUCGCCAGUUCGUACUGUGAAGCAUCCUGUUAAGUCAGGCAACGAGCGAGACCCGUGCCCACUGUUACCAGCAUGUCCUCCGGGACGAUGGGUACUCUGUGGGGACCGCCGAUGUUAAAUCGGAGGAAGGUGCGGGCCACGGUAGGUCAGUAUGCCCCGAAUCUCCCGGGCUACACGCGGGCUACAAUGGAUGGGACAAUGGGUCCCUCCCCUGAAAAGGGCUGGUAAUCUCACAAACCCAUUCGUAGUUCGGAUCGAGGGCUGUAACUCGCCCUCGUGAAGCUGGAAUCCGUAGUAAUCGCGUCAAGAGCGGAU
rnacentral:rRNA from 1 species